rnacentral:misc_RNA from 1 species
GAAAUGCGAUAAGUAAUGUGAAUUGCAGAAUUCAGUGAAUCAUCGAAUCUUUGAACGCACCUUUCGCUCCUUGGUAUUCCUUGGAGCAUGCCUGUUUGAGUAUCAUGAAAUCUUCAAAGUAAAUCUUUUGUUAACUCAAUUGGUUUCUACUUUGGUAUUGGAGGUCUUUGCAGCUUCACACCUGCUCCUCUUUGUUCAUUAGCUGGAUCUCAGUGUUAUGCUUGGUUCCACUCGGCGUGAUAAGUUAUCUAUCGCUGAGGACACUGUAAAAGGUGGCCAAGGUAAAUGCAGAUGAACCGCUUCUAAUAGUCCAUUGACUUGGACAAUACUUUUAUGAUCUGAUCUCAAAUCAGGUAGGACUACCCGCUGAACUUAGGC